UACGUAGGGUGCAAGCGUUAAUCGGAAUUACUGGGCGUAAAGCGUGCGCAGGCGGUUAUGCAAGACAGAGGUGAAAUCCCCGGGCUCAACCUGGGAACUGCCUUUGUGACUGCAUAGCUAGAGUACGGUAGAGGGGGAUGGAAUUCCGCGUGUAGCCGUGAAAUGCGUAGAUAUGCGGAGGAACACCGAUGGCGAAGGCAAUCCCCUGGACCUGUACUGACGCUCAUGCACGAAAGCGUGGGGAGCAAACAGG
rnacentral:rRNA from 1 species